rnacentral:rRNA from 1 species
GACGAACGCUGGCGGCGUGCUUAACACAUGCAAGUCGAACGGAAAGGCCCUGCUUGCAGGGUGCUCGAGCGGCGAACGGGUGAGUAACACGUGGGUGAUCUGCCCCUUACUUUGGGAUAAGCCUGGGAAACUGGGUCUAAUACUGGAUAGGACCAUGCUGUAGGUGGUGUGGUGGAAAGAUUAGUUUCGGUAAGGGAUGAGCUCGCGGCCUAUCAGCUUGUUGGUGGGGUAAUGGCCUACCAAGGCGUCGACGGGUAGCCGGCCUGAGAGGGUGGACGGCCACAUUGGGACUGAGAUACGGCCCAGACUCCUACGGGAGGCAGCAGUGGGGAAUAUUGCACAAUGGGCGCAAGCCUGAUGCAGCGACGCCGCGUGGGGAAUGACGGCCUUCGGGUUGUAAACUCCUUUCAGCCAUGACGAAGCCCUUGUGGUGACGGUAGUGGUAGAAGAAGCACCGGCUAACUACGUG